GACGAACGCUGGCGGCGUGCUUAACACAUGCAAGUCGAACGAUGAUGCUGGAGCUUGCUCCAGUUGAUUAGUGGCGAACGGGUGAGUAACACGUGAGCAAUCUGCCCUUGACUCUGGGAUAACUGCGGGAAACUGUAGCUAAUACCGGAUACUUUCACCGGAAGGCAUCUUCUGGUGAUGAAAGAAUUUCGGUCAGGGAUAAGCUCGCGGCCUAUCAGCUUGUUGGUGAGGUAACGGCUCACCAAGGCGACGACGGGUAACCGGCCUGAGAGGGUGACCGGUCACACUGGGACUGAAACACGGCCCAGACUCCUACGGGAGGCAGCAGUGGGGAAUAUUGCACAAUGGGCGCAAGCCUGAUGCAGCAACGCCGCGUGAGGGAUGAAGGCCUUCGGGUUGUAAACCUCUUUUAGCAGGGAAGAAGCGAAAGUGACGGUACCUGCAGAAAAAGCACCGGCUAACUACGUGCCAGCCGCCGCCGUAA
rnacentral:rRNA from 1 species